AUACGGAGGGUGCGAGCGUUAAUCGGAAUUACUGGGCGUAAAGCGUACGUAUGCGGUUGGUUAAGUUAGAUGUGAAAGCCCCGGGCUUAACCUGGGAACUGCAUUUAAAACUGGCGAACUAGAGUUGAGUAGAGGGGAGUGGAAUUUCAGGUGUAGCGGUGAAAUGCGUAGAGAUCUGAAGGAACACCAGUGGCGAAGGCGACUCCCUGGACUCGAACUGACGCUGAGGUACGAAAGCGUGGGUAGCAAACGGGAUUAGAAACCCCAGUAGUCC
rnacentral:rRNA from 1 species